rnacentral:lncRNA from 1 species
UUGUAUUCUGCCAUUAUAAAUCAGAUUUGGUCAGAAGUUAUAAAUGGCCAAAAUUUAUGGAUUUUUCACAGGUAAAUUUUACUAGGACAUUAUAUGUUAAUUUGCAGCAAUAACAAAAACAUCAUCCUGUAUCCUUCUAAUAGGGUGGGCAGUACUCGGACAGAAAACAAACCCUCAUAUGCCACUAAUCAGACACUAACUCUGUACACUAUACCAGCUUCCUCUAUAGUCAUUGUUUUUUAUACGACAUCUGAAAUUUCCCAGGAUAUCACUGGCUGCUAUAAAAUGAUAAAAAGUUCCAUGCCCCUUAAAUAGGCUCAAGAGUGUUUGUAUUUUCU